ensembl:lncRNA
CCCCCGUUCACCAUCAAUCUACUCGCUACUUCUAUGAGGUCAACAUUUUUAGAUGGAAACUUCAGGGACAUCACGUGGAAUUUGUCUUUCUGAGGUGAUCAGAUGCUAAGUAGUGUGAUUUUGUCAUUCCAUGGUGCACACAUCCAUCUAAUCCUCACUCUGUAUCUCAUAAAUGAAUACAAGCAUGAUUUGCCAAUUGAAAUAAUAUUAAGAAAAACAUAAUAAAUGUAGUAAAAUACAGGAAGUGUAGCUUGACUGCCCUAACCACUUGGUUUUUGUCUUGGCCCAGCUGUCCAUUGGGUUCACUGGUGCUGCCUUAUCCCUUUGACUUUUUUGUGCUAGUCAGAAACAACAUAAUUGGAGCAUGAAACUGAAGCAUCUUUUGCCAAUGGCAUCCGUGGCUCCUUUUAGUCACAGAGAUUGAGGUUACACCAUCUGUCUUCUCGAGGGUUCCCUCAGACCAAGUCAACUCUUCUGGGUCUUCCACAUGGAGUGAGCCGACUUCCUGGUGGGUUCCCUGAGACAAGGCUCCUUGGGGGUUCCCCCAUAGCUGCUGGUGCUCUGUGGAGGGUGAAGCCACAGGCGUAUGCUGGGGGGCUUUGCUGGGAAUGGCUGGCUUCAUCUCCAGGCCAGGAGAUCUCAAGAAACUGACAGUCAUGGUGGAAGGUGUUAUGGGUGCAGCACUCCCUGGCUUGAGCAAGAGAGGAUAGAGAGUGGUGAGUACUUCACCCUGUAUAACAAACAGAUCUUGUGAGAAUUCACAUUACCAAGUCCUCACUCCGUAUAUUGCACCAAGGGGAGAUGGUACUGAACCAUUCAUAACAAUUUUGCCCCAUAAGUCAAUCACUUCCAACCACACUCCACAUCCAACUUUGGGGAUUACAAUUGAAAAUGAUAUUUGGGUGGAAACAUAUAUCAGUAUCAUUAAUUAGCACUGUUAGUCUAGUGAGUAUACUUAGUAUAGUUGCUUACUGUUUUAGCACAGUCAAUAUAGAUAGUAUAAUUUGUUAAUAUUUAAGCAUAGGUAGUAUAGUUAGUAUCAUUGCUUAGCAGUUUAGUGCAGCUAGUACAGUUAAUAUGGUUAGUUAAUACUUUAGUGAAGUUUGUAUAGUUAGCAUGGUUUCUUUAUAUGUUAGUAUAGUUAUUAUAGUCAGUAUUAUUUCUUUGUAUUAUAGCAUAGUUAUAAUAGUCAUUAUUAUUGCCUAGUUUUGUUAGUGUACUUGACAUAAUCAGCAUGGUUGCUUAGUAUUUUAGCAAAGUUUUUAUGGUUGCUCAAUAUUUUAGUGUAGUCAGUAUCGUUGAUAUGGUUGCUUAAUAUUUUACUGUGAUCACUAUAGUCUAUAUUGUUGCUUAGUAUUUUGUAGCAGUCAGCACACUCAAUAUCAUUGUGUAGUACUGUUAGUGUAGUGUAGUCAGUAUUGUUCCUUAGUUUCUUUGUCUGUAACAUCAGCAUCUUUGCUUAUAGUCGGUAUAGUAGGUAUUGUUACUUAGUCUUUUAGCAUAGUCAGUAUGGUUUUUAGUAUUUUAGCAUAGUUUGUAUAGUCAAUAUGGUUGCUUAGUGUCUUAGCAUAGUUGGUAAGUCAGUAUCAUUGCUUAGUAUUCUCGUGUAGUGUUUAUAGUCCGUUUAGUUGCUUAGCAUUUUAGUGUAGUUAGUAUAUUCAGUAUCAUUGCUUAGUAUUUUAGCAUAGUUAUUAUAGUAUUAUUAGUGUAUUUAGUAUAAUUAGUGUGGUUUGUUAGUAUUGUCAACCUAGGAAGUAUAAUUAGUGUUUCUCAUUAGUUAGAAGAGUUGGUAGAGGUUGAUUUGUAGUCAGCAUAGUUAGGAGACACUGUGGAGCUGGGCUUGGCCUCAAACUCACCUGAUGAGGAGAUCCAAAAGUACAGAUUUUUGAGACCAUCUGUUGGGGCACAUUCAGUG